rnacentral:tRNA from 1 species
CAGGGGGUAGUUUAUAAAAAAUAUUAAUUUUGGAGAUUAAAGAUAUUAAUUUUCCUCUGA